ACGCCGUCCUGAACGGCGUUCACGGCCUUGACCGGGCCCGUGAGGCGGGGGUGGUGCCGUGUCGGCGCAGCACCACCCCCGCAGC
rnacentral:ncRNA from 18 species